rnacentral:ncRNA from 1 species
AUGAGCCGUAUGAAAGGAGACUUUCACGUACGGUUCUGUGAGAAGCUUGGGAGGAAAGUCUCCUUGUUUACUCCAC